GGUCGGUUAGCUCAGUUGGUUUAGAGCGUGGUGCUAAUAGAUCUGUCCUUGAUACGCCAAGGUCGCGGGUUCGACCCCCGUACUGACCA